rnacentral:rRNA from 1 species
CCAGUACGUUGAAGGGUGUAGGUAUACGUUUGGCAGGCAAAUCCACCAAAUGUGCUGAAGCCCGAUAGUACCGUGAGUCUUCGGACAAGCGGAUAAUGACCCUAAGCAUACUUCCAAGAAAAACCUCUAAGCUUCAGGUAAUAGCCAUCCGUACCGGAAACCGACACAGGUGGUCGAGGAGAGUAUCCACAGGCGCUCGAGUGAAUCACAGCUAAGGAACUAGGCAAAUUAGUCCUGUAACUUCGGGAGAAAGGACGCCACGAGCAAUCGUGGCUGCAGAGAAAUGGCCCAGGCGACUGUUUAUCAAAAACACAUGGCUAUGCUAAAUUUUAAGAUGACGUAUAUGGCCUGACACCUGCCCGGUGCUGGAAGGUUAAGAGGAGAGGUUAUUCCGAUUCGUCGGGAGAAGCUUUGAAUUGAAGCCCCAGUAAACGGCGGCCGUAACGAUAACGGUCCUAAGGUAGCGAAAUUCCUUGUCGGGUAAGUUCCGACCUGCACGAAUGGUGUAACGAUCUGGGCACUGUCUCAGCUGUGAGCUCGGUGAAAUUGUAGUUCCGGUGAAGAUGCCGGAUACCCGCAACGGGACGGAAAGACCCCGUGAACCUUCACUAUAACUUUGCAUUGACUCUGGAUAAACAAUGUGUAGGAUAGCUGGGAGACUGUGAAGCGGCUUCGCUAGGAGUCGUGGAGUCAACCUUGAAAUACCAGCCUUUGUUUAUCUGGCGCCUAAUCCCUAACGGGAGACAGUGCAUGGUGGGUAGUUUGACUGGGGUGGUCGCCUCCAAAAGUGUAACGGAGGCUUUCAAAGGUACCCUCAGCAUGCUUGGUAACCAUGCGUAGAGUGCAAUAGCACAAGGGUGCUUGACUGUGAGACCAACAAGUCGAACAGGUAGGAAACUAGGAUAUAGUGAUCCGGUGGUUCCGAAUGGAAGGGCCAUCGCUCAAAGGAUAAAAGGUACUCCCGGAUAACAGGCUGAUCACCGCCAAGAGCUCAUAUCGACGCGGUGGUUUGGCACCUCGAUGUCGGCUCGUCACAUCCUGGGGCUGAAGAAGGUCCCAAGGGUUCGGCUGUUCGCCGAUUAAAGUGGCACGUGAGCUGGGUUCGGAACGUCGCGAGACAGUUCGGUCCCUAUCUGUUGUGGGCGUUGGAAACUUGAGGGCACCUGACUCUAGUACGAGAGGACCGAGUUGGACAGACCGCUAGUGCAUCUGUUGUGGCGCCAGCUGCAUUGCAGAGUAGCUACGUCUGGAUGAGAUAAGCGCUGAAAGCAUCUAAGCGCGAAACUCAGCCCAAGAUGAGGUUUCCUUUAAGGGUCGUCGUAGACCACGACGUUGAUAGGCUACAGGUCUAAAGGCAGUAAUGUCAUAGCCGAGUAGUACUAAUUACCC